rnacentral:lncRNA from 1 species
UCUAUUCAUACCUGUCUGUCCACACCUGUCUCACCUGUCUGAUCUCACCUGUUCUCACCUGUUCUCACCUGUCCAGGUGGAUUCGAGGAUCGCCGUGGCGGUCGCGGUGGAUUCGAUCGCGGGGGGUUCCUCACACCUGUCACACCUGUCUGAUCUCACCUGUUGUAUUCACACCUGUUCUCACCUGUCACACCUGUUCUCACCUGUUCUCACCUGUCACACCUGUUCUCACCUGUUCUCACCUGUCCAGGUGGAUUCGAGGAUCGUCGCGGCGGCGGCAGGGGCGGAUUCGAUCGCGGGGGUUCCCUCACACCUGUCACACCUGUCACACCUGUCACACCUGUCUGAUCUCACCUGUUCUAUUCAUACCUGUCUGUUCUCACCUGUCCUCACCUGUCCAGGUGGAUUCGAGGACCGUCGCGGUGGCGGUCGUGGUGGAUUCGAUUGUGGGGUUUCCUCACACCUGUCACACCUGUCACACCUGUUCUCACCUGUCCAUUCUCACCUGUCCAGGUGGAUUCGAGGAUCGUCGUGGCGGCAGGGGCGGAUUCGAUCGCGGGGGUUUCCGCGGGCGCGGCGAGCGCGGGGGUUCCUCACACCUGUCUGAUCUCACCUGUUCUAUUCACACCUGUCUGUUCUCACCUGUCCAUUCUCACCUGUCCAGGUGGAUUCGAGGAUCGUCGUGGCGGCAGGGGCGGAUUCGAUCGCGGGGGUUUCCGCGGGCGCGGCGAGCGCGGGGGUUCCUCACAUCUGUCACACCUGUCACAACUGUCUGAUCUCACCUGUUGUAUUCACACCUGUUCUCACCUGUCCAGGUGGAUUCGAGGAUCGCCGCGGCGGCAGGGGCGGAUUCGAUCGCGGGGGUGUCCUCACACCUGUCUGAUCUCACCUGUUGUAUUCACACCUGUUCACACCUGUUCUAUUCACACCUGUCUGAUCUCACCUGUCACACCUGUUCUCACCUGAUCUCACCUGUCCAGGUGGAUUCGAGGAUCGUCGCGGCGGUGGCAGGGGCGGAUUCGAUCGCGGGGGUUUCCUCACACCUGUCACACCUGUCACACCUGUCACACCUGUCACACCUGUCACACCUGCUGUAUUCACACCUGUCUGAUCUCACCUGUUGUGUUCACACCUGUUCUCACCUGUUCUCACCUGUCUGAUCUCACCUGUCCAGGUGGAGGUUUCGAGGAUCGCCGUGGUGGUCGUGGAGGUUUCGAUCGCGGGGGUUUCCGCGGGCGCGGCGAGCGCGGGGGCUUCCUCACACCUGUCACACCUGUUGUAUUCACACCUGUUCUGUUCAUACCUGUCUGAUCUCACCUGUUCUCACCUGUCUGAUCUCACCUGUCCAGGUGGAUUCGAGGAUUGCCGUGGCGGCAGGGGCGGAUUCGAUCGCGGGGGUUUCCUCACACCUGUCACACCUGUCACACCUGUUCUGUUCAUACCUGUCUGUUCUCACCUNNNNNNNNNNNNNNNNNNNNGGCAGAGGAGGAGGAGGAGGAGGAGGAGGAAACCACAUGGGUGAGUACACCUGGACACACCUGGAUACACCUGGGGUACACCUGGGGACAUCCUAAAUACACCUGGAUACACCUGGAUACACCUGGGGACACCUGGGGGACACCUGGGGACAUCCUAAAUACACCUGGAGUACACCUGGAUACACCUGGGGUACACCUGGGGACAUCCUAAAUACACCUGGAGUACACCUGGAUACACCUGGGGACACCUGGGGACACCUGGGGGACACCUGGGGACACCUGAGGAUAGCUGGACACA